UCAGGACGAACGCUGGCGGCGUGCUUAACACAUGCAAGUCGAGCGAUGAAGUUUCUUCGGAGAUGGAUUAGCGGCGAACGGGUGAGGAACACGUGAAGAAUCUGCCCUCCACUUUGGGAUAACACAGGGAAACCUGUGCUAAUACCGAAUAUUGAAACAUAAGUGGCAUCACUGAGUUUUGAAAGAAUUUCGGUGGAGGAUGACUUCGCGGCCUAUCAGCUAGUUGGUGAGGUAAUGGCUCACCAAGGCAACGACGGGUAGCCGGCCUGAGAGGGCGACCGGCCACACUGGGACUGAGACACGGCCCAGACUCCUACGGGAGGCAGCAGUGGGGAAUAUUGGGCAAUGGAGGAAACUCUGACCCAGCGACGCCGCGUGCGGGAUGAAGGCCUUCGGGUUGUAAACCGCUUUCAGUAGGGAAGAAGCGAAAGUGACGG
rnacentral:rRNA from 1 species